rnacentral:lncRNA from 1 species
AUGAAAAACAUGUUAACCAUCAUCUCCAACGCCCUUUGUCGGAUCACUGGCAGGAAUGUGGGAGCCCAAUCAGUGUCCGAGUUGCUGAUCGACCUGUCAGCGUACGUCAGUGUAACUUCGCCAGAGGCGCCCGACUUGGCAAAGACCCAGCGGCAGCCACCUAAACCACCACCGCCGCCACCAGUCAGUACUAGAGCGCAUGACGCAGAGUUAGUUAGCUGCCAGAGCGACGCGCUAGAUGCACCAGUAAGAACCACGACCGGCAUCCUCCACGUCUGCCUGAUCACUAACGGGGCUGAGGGGGAACUAAAGGAAAUUAACCCCUUAAAGUAA